rnacentral:rRNA from 1 species
CUCUGUGACUCCUACGGGAGGCAGCAGUGGGGAAUAUUGCACAAUGGGCGCAAGCCUGAUGCAGCCAUGCCGCGUGUAUGAAGAAGGCCUUCGGGUUGUAAAGUACUUUCAGCAGUGAGGAAGGCGGAGUCGUUAAUAGCGGCCUCGUUUGACGUUAGCUGCAGAAGAAGCACCGGCUAAACUCCGUGCCAGCAGCCGCGGUAAUACGGAGGGUGCGAGCGUUAAUCGGAAUUACUGGGGCGUAAAGCGCAUGCAGGUGGUUUGUUAAGUCAGAUGUGAAAGCCCGGGGCUCAACCUCGGAAUUGCAUUUGAAACUGGCAGACUAGAGUACUGUAGAGGGGGUAGAAUUUCAGGUGUAGCGGUGAAAUGCGUAGAGAUCUGAAGGAAUACCGGUGGCGAAGGCGGCCCCCUGGACAGAUACUGACACUCAGAUGCGAAAGCGUGGGGAGCAAACAGGAUUAGAUUCCCUGGUAG